GACAGAGGGUGCAAACGUUGUUCGGAAUUACUGGGCGUAAAGCGCGUGUAGGCGGCCCUGCAAGUCGGAUGUGAAAUCCCACGGCUCAACCGUGGAAGUGCAUUCGAAACUGCAGGGCUAGAGUCCUGGAGAGGAAGGUGGAAUGCUUGGUGUAGAGGUGAAAUUCGUAGAUAUCAAGCGGAACACCGGUGGCGAAGGCGGCGACCUGGUCCGAUACUGACGCUGAGGCGCGAAAGCGUGGGGAGCAAACGGG
rnacentral:rRNA from 1 species